GGGGGGGUUGCAACUCAAUAUUAGGAAGGUGUUUCUAAUGUUUGGUAUACUCAGUUUAUACUUUGUAAUUCUCAAAUCACUGAUCACUUCCCUUUUUCUGGCCCUCCGCUGAGAGCAGCCGUGGAUAUGGAGGUGGUCCAACCCCAUGCCCCUAUUACAGGGGUCAUGAGUCUCCCCCCAUCCUCUGUACUGGCUCCAGGGCCUCUGGUUCCCAACCUCCAGCCUGCCUGCCAGCACAGGCGCCUCCCCUCCGCAGCACCCAGUGAGGCCAGCAUGGAGCUGGACAGCGGUGUCGACCCAGAGACUGGAGAGAGAGCCCAGGGAUGACACCACACUCUUCUGCUGUUUCUACUGGCCAGAUAUAUUCAGUGUUGCAGAUAUGUCUAGAACAGGUCAAGUGGUUUGGAACCUGGCUGUACUGACUAGCCCAAUGUUGUGAAAUACUUUUCUCAUCUCCUUUACAUUGGUAGGUGAACAAGCUUUAAAAAGUAUCCAUCAAGGAAUAUAGUAGGAGUGGAAGUUUUUUUUAUUAGGGUGUAUUGAGGCUUUUGGUACACUGCUAUAUGCUUCUGUACAGGGCAGGGAAAGGCAAACCUUGAAAGGCAUUUCAUUGCUCCCAUUUCACAUAUUCACAGAAGUAGAAGUGGCCAGAUGACAGUCUACAAAGUAGGCUCCCUUCAUAUUGCUUUGAAUGGUCUUCUCAGGUCAGCGGAUAGAGACGAAGCCCAGGAAUACAUGCACGGUCUGUUGACAAGUUUAAAGUUGCAAACAUGAGUCUAAAACAGGUAAACCAUGACUUCAUCCUAUUGCAUGGUUUUAUGACUUCCUAAAAGGCCUAUUCAACACAUUCAGGGAUGGGAGUUAUGGCCCAGAUAAAAUAGAACCUUUUGAUGUAACCAGAAGUUAUUUUUUAUUAUCUGUUGUGUACGCAGAUCUUGUUUAUUUCAAUAUGCUGUGGUGAAUUGCAAUGUUUUUUUUCUUCAUGCAUUUAACUUUAAUAAAGUUAAGAGGAUCUUUUUUCCCCCA